rnacentral:lncRNA from 7 species
AGACGAGAGGGGAGCACACUCCAAGCUCAUUGCCUUGCCAUGCAGCCAGCUCGGCCCACUGCUGCGAGGGGAUGCUGAGGAUGCUGCUGGAGAACGCACAGACAAGGAAGGACAGUGGGGAGGGGGCACCUCGGGGGCUUUCUGCAGCUUUGUCCUUUGGGCUGAGCCAGGUGUGAGCUGUGUUUUGGCCAUGCACCUGCUGCAGAUGUCGGAAUGGCUUUCUUUGCCCGAACACCUGGAUGUGUAGGUCUGGCCAGGAAACCUUCAAGUAGGAGCACUUUCCCUUCUAAGCAGACCCAGGAGAAAAUGCAGUGGGAGAGAAGAUCCACUCUUCUGAGGACAGAGUCCUUGGCCAACGUUGAGUGAAUCCUGCUGCAACAUAGGACAGUGGUCAUCAUUGUCAUUGUUAUACUGGCCUCCAAAACCCAGAGUCCUGCUCUAGAUGGUUCUGCUACUAACGAGGAUGAUGCAAGGAUGGAGAAAAUUGGGUGUUGGAUGGAACUGGUGACCACCAGGGCUUCACUUCUCAUCUCUGCUGACGCGCCCUAAAACCGGGCUCCCCUCCAGUGCGUUUGGAGCAGCAGUGCUGACAACGUUAGGCUGAACCCUCCAUCCACCACUGAGGAAAACACACAGCGGAGGAAAGUCAGGUUCCAGAUUGCUCAGCAGAAAGGAGAAACCAGCUUGGAAGCCCCUCUGGAAGAAGGCCAGGCAGUAAUCUCACGGCGUGUGGGUGAGAAUGAAUGGAGGUGUAACGUUCUGCUACAUGUAGGCUCUGCUGGUGCAUCUCUGGUCUCAGUUGGAAGCAGGAAGAUCUGGAAAGGCUGAAAAACAUGGAGAGGAAAAAUGCAGCAAGCUCUUAUCAGAAAACAGGAACCUGUGAUGGUCAGCCCUUCACUGGAGAUAGAUCCCUCAGCACUGGCUUUGGGAAGCAGGACUUGGUGUGCUGUCAGCCCGGCGGAUGAGCAGUGGGUCAUGGCUGAGCAAGAGACAAAGGAAUGGCUGAGACAAAGAUCUGAGCUGGUGACGCAGCAAUGGAAUGAGUUCUAAAUUUUGCAACAAAAAACCAUAUUCCUCUCCUCACUUGCUAAGAAGUCAUCUGACUUGGAAGGAUAUUUCCUAGAGAGCAUGAGAACGUAGCAGAUCAACUCUGCAGAAAGGAAUGGCCUUCUUCCUUCAUGUUUUCCAUAAGAUCCUGGCCAAGUUGGCCAAUAACUAAGGCAAGGAACUGGGGGGAAAAAAAAGCCCAUGUGUCUGAAUUACUAAAGCCAGAAAGACAGCUGCUUGGAAGCAGUAAUGAAGCCCCAUCCUGCUCCCCAGGCAGAGAGCAUUCGGACUUGUCUCAAGCACAGCUCCAGCCACACACCUGCGGGAUGGAAACAGGCAGAGCAAACAAUGAAGCAAGGCUGUUUAUAAAGCCUUCAACACGUCAGGCAGGGAGAAGAGCCCAAGUUUCCACGUCAAGGCCAAAACGGACCAGAAUGACGCGAAACACAUGGAAAAUAUGGAAAAUGUGGAAUAAGUAAUAAAAUUAUAAAUAAAACAAAUACAAUAAAUU